rnacentral:rRNA from 1 species
GAACGCUAGCGGGAGGCCUAACACAUGCAAGCCGAGCGGUAUUUGUCCUUCGGGACAGAGAGAGCGGCGUACGGGUGCGGAACACGUGUGCAACCUACCUUUAUCAGGGGGAUAGCCUUUCGAAAGGAAGAUUAAUACCCCAUAAUAUAAACCAAGGCAUCUUGAUUUAUUGAAAACUCCGGUGGAUAGAGAUGGGCACGCGCAAGAUUAGAUAGUUGGUAGGGUAACGGCCUACCAAGUCAGUGAUCUUUAGGGGGCCUGAGAGGGUGAUCCCCCACACUGGUACUGAGACACGGACCAGACUCCUACGGGAGGCAGCAGUGAGGAAUAUUGGACAAUGGGUGAGAGCCUGAUCCAGCCAUCCCGCGUGAAGGACGACGGCCCUAUGGGUUGUAAACUUCUUUUGUAUAGGGAUAAACCUACUCUCGUGAGAGUAGCUGAAGGUACUAUACGAAUAAGCACCGGCUAACUCCGUGCCAGCAGCCGCGGUAAUACGGAGGGUGCAAGCGUUAUCCGGAUUUAUUGGGUUUAAAGGGUCCGUAGGCGGGCUUGUAAGUCAGUGGUGAAAUCUCAUAGCUUAACUAUGAAACUGCCAUUGAUACUGCAGGUCUUGAGUAAAGUAGAAGUGGCUGGAAUAAGUAGUGUAGCGGUGAAAUGCAUAGAUAUUACUUAGAACACCAAUUGCGAAGGCAGGUCACUAUGUUUUAACUGACGCUGAUGGACGAAAGCGUGGGGAGCGAACAGGAUUAGAUACCCUGGUAGUCCACGCCGUAAACGAUGCUAACUCGUUUUUGGGKCUUCGGCUUCAGAGACUAAGCGAAAGUGAUAAGUUAGCCACCUGGGGAGUACGUUCGCAAGAAUGAAACUCAAAGGAAUUGACGGGGGCCCGCACAAGCGGUGGAUUAUGUGGUUUAAUUCGAUGAUACGCGAGGAACCUUACCAAGGCUUAAAUGGGAAUUGACAGGUUUAGAAAUAGACUUUUCUUCGGACAAUUUUCAAGGUGCUGCAUGGUUGUCGUCAGCUCGUGCCGUGAGGUGUUAGGUUAAGUCCUGCAACGAGCGCAACCCCUGUCACUAGUUGCCAUCAUUCAGUUGGGGACUCUAGUGAGACUGCCUACGCAAGUAGAGAGGAAGGUGGGGAUGACGUCAAAUCAUCACGGCCCUUACGCCUUGGGCCACACACGUAAUACAAUGGCCGGUACAGAGGGCAGCUACCUAGCGAUAGGAUGCGAAUCUCGAAAGCCGGUCUCAGUUCGGAUUGGAGUCUGCAACUCGACUCUAUGAAGCUGGAAUCGCUAGUAAUCGCAUAUCAGCCAUGAUGCGGUGAAUACGUUCCCGGGCCUUGUACACACCGCCCGUCAAGCCAUGGAAGUUUGGGGUACCUGAAGUCGGUGACCGUAACAGGAGCUGCCUAGGGUAA